CAGGUGCAUGCCUCUAGCAUGAAGUCAGACAAGUGAACCCGCUGAAUUAAGCAUAUCAAUAAGCGGAGGA
rnacentral:rRNA from 1 species